rnacentral:rRNA from 1 species
AUUGAACGCUGGCGGCAGGCCUAACACAUGCAAGUCGAGCGAGCGGCGGACGGGUGAGUAAUGUAUGGGGAUCUGCCCGAUAGAGGGGGAUAACUACUGGAAACGGUAGCUAAUACCGCAUACUAUCGGAUGAACCCAUAUGGGAUUAGCUUGUAGGUGGGGUAAAGGCUCACCUAGGCGACGAUCCCUAGCUGGUCUGAGAGGAUGAUCAGCCAAACUGGGAAUGAGACACGGCCCAGACUCCUACGGGAGGCAGCAGUGGGGAAUAUUGCACAAUGGGCGCAAGCCUGAUGCAGCCAUGCCGCGUGUAUGAAGAAGGCCUUCGGGUUGUAAAGUACUUUCAGUGGGGAGGCGUUACCGACAGAAGAAGCACCGGCUAACUCCGUGCCAGCAGCCGCGGUAAUAC